rnacentral:rRNA from 1 species
CACUCCUACGGGAGGCAGCAGUGGGGAAUAUUGCACAAUGGGCGCAAGCCUGAUGCAGCCAUGCCGCGUGUAUGAAGAAGGCCUUCGGGUUGUAAAGUACUUUCAGCGGGGAGGAAGGCAAUACGGUUAAUAACCGUGUUGAUUGACGUUACCCGCAGAAGAAGCACCGGCUAACUCCGUGCCAGCAGCCGCGGUAAUACGGAGGGUGCAAGCGUUAAUCGGAAUUACUGGGCGUAAAGCGCACGCAGGCGGUCUGUCAAGUCGGAUGUGAAAUCCCCGGGCUCAACCUGGGAACUGCAUUCGAAACUGGCAGGCUUGAGUCUUGUAGAGGGGGGUAGAAUUCCAGGUGUAGCGGUGAAAUGCGUAGAGAUCUGGAGGAAUACCGGUGGCGAAGGCGGCCCCCUGGACAAAGACUGACGCUCAGGUGCGAAAGCGUGGGGAGCAAACAGGAUUAGAAACCCGAGUAGUCCCA